UACGAAGGGGGCUAGCGUUGCUCGGAAUGACUGGGCGUAAAGGGCGCGUAGGCGGAUGGCACAGUCAGAUGUGAAAUUCCCGGGCUUAACCUGGGGGCUGCAUUUGAUACGUGUGAUCUAGAGUGAGGAAGAGGGUCGUGGAAUUCCCAGUGUAGAGGUGAAAUUCGUAGAUAUUGGGAAGAACACCGGUGGCGAAGGCGGCGACCUGGGUAGAUACUGACGCUGAGGUGCGAAAGCGUGGGGAGCAAACAGG
rnacentral:rRNA from 1 species